AUGAAUUAACUUAGUUGAUUUACACAAAAUAAUAUGUAUGCCGACAUGUAAUCUAUGCCGAAUGUAAAAUAUGCCGAAAUAUGUAAAAUAUGCCGAAUAUGUAUGCCAAUGAUUUACACAAAAUAAUAUGUAUGGCGACAUAUGAAUUGGCAGAAUUAUGAAGGCUUCCGACAAUUUAAAGUAUUAUAACAAUACAAGAAGUCACUAAAAAUAGGGAGAAAAAAAAUUUCACCUUUUUGUGUUUUUAUCUAUAAAAGUUUUUGAAUAUCUUAUGCCGUCUUUGUAUUAAAUCAGUUUUAAUUUGCAAUUCAUCCAGUGAGCGUAGCCCAGCUGGCUACAGUACUUCGACUCGAUUCUUCAAAGCAUCAAUAAAUGGAAUGGCAUUCAAUAUAUUGUUUUAUAUUUAGAAUUAAAAUUUUAUUUAAAUAAAGACAAAUU